rnacentral:rRNA from 1 species
CGCGUAGGCGGUUUUAUAAGUCAGAUGUGAAAGGUACCGGCUCAACCGGUGACGUGCAUUUGAAACUGUAAGACUUGAGUACUGAAGAGGCAAGCGGAAUUCCUAGUGUAGCGGUGAAAUGCGUAGAUAUUAGGAAGAACACCGGUGGCGAAGGCGGCUUGCUGGGCAGAUACUGACGCUGAGGUGCGAAAGCGGUGGGGAGCGAACA